CACCUCAGCCCCCUCCUCUUAUCUCCAGGGUGCGUGCAACUGGAAGUCACAACAAGAAUAAGUCAGCCCGCUUCUUGUUUCUUCACCACGAGCCCAGGCGAACUCAGAGGAUGAACAGAUCCCACAACAGCUCGUACCGCUGCUCCCUGUGUGUGACCCACAGCCACGAAGGCAGGGACCCAACAAACUUUGACCGGCUGCUGCUUCACAAACACAACAAGUUUAAACCUGAGGACUAUUCACCACUUUCCUCUGGUUGAAGUUAAAGCAUUCAACUCCGACACACUUGUGAAUAAGACCGUUAGCGAAUCAUUAACGGGAAAUACAAACACGCCGGUUCCUGUUUCGGGAUGUUAGCCGUGCGGCUAACACCAGCUAGCAACUCGAGCCUGCUAGCGCUAACCUUUGACAGGCUAGCGGCGCUAACGCUGUUAGCAGUUAGCCGAAGUGACAGUUUAUCCGGGUCGUCCCUUGGUGUCGUGUGGAGGCUUCGUGCUCACCUGGUGGAGAGGCUCCUCUGCUCGGCUCCACUGAUGGACCGGUGAUGUCGGCGGCUUCUCUCCGUUAGCUCCUCCUGCCUGGAGACUGUGGACUGUAUGAGCCGUGUGGACCCGAUCAGCUGAUGUCGCUGUCUAAAGCUACUGAAUAUACAGUGAAAAUACACACUGUCAAAAGCUAUACCCGAUUAGAAUGCACCUCAGCAGCAGCAGCAGCACGCAUCACAUAUAUCUCACUAAGCUCUGACUCAUCUCACUGUGUAAUACUCAUUUUCCAUCUGUGAAAAUUCAAUAUAUCUUAAGUGCAAUCCUGAAACAAACUCUGCUCACACUGUAUAAUAUGUAUGGCAUGCAUUACACACACACACACAGUUAUAUUAUAUUAUUAGAUAUGUAUUACUUUUACUGAUGUUUCUAUUUUUACCAUCCAUUGCUGAAUGCAGCAGAUGGUCACACACGCUGAAUCUGGUUCUGCUGGAGGCUUCUCCUGUUUUUUCUUCCCACAGUCGCCAAGUCUUUGUUCAUUGUAGGAACUGUUGGGUCUCUGUAAUAACAAUCUAAGGAGCCUUGAGAUAGUGCAUGAGGAAUGUUGUGAUUUGUUGCAAUACAAAUAACAUUGAAUUUAAUUGAACUUGUUGCUGUAACAAAACUUUCCCCAGAAUGGGAUGAAUACAGGAUGGUCUUAUUUUAGCAUAACAGAGGCAAAGCCACUCUAUAACUGAUAGUGAACUACUGCUAACUAAGUUCAUAACUAAGAGAAAUGUUUAGGGUAAUCUUACUUUCUCUGAGAAGAACAGGGAACGAGCCCUCAGGCCAUGACCCUAUCACCCUACCCGUUAAUGGUCCCUAUGGUUCCAGUCUGCUGUUUAUUAUUACACAAACCUGAAAUAAUGGUUCCAGUGAUGAAAAAUGAUCCCCACUAAGUCUUAUCUGUCAAAAAAGUCAUUAAACAUCAGAGUCUUCAUUUAUAUGACUCGCACAGCUUUUUAAAAUAAAGAUAAUGAAGCUAUAAUAAGAGGAAACAGUUCUGUAUAUCUAUAUUUGGAGACGAUAUGUAACAUGUGACUAGUUUAUACAUUAAAAAAAUAGUACAUCAAAUACAUAAACAACUGCCAACACAUAAGUUCACAAAUAAAACAUUUAUUGUGAUAAUUCUCAAUAAUCUACAGUGAUGAUUAACAGAACAUUGUAUAAACAAUGAUGCAGACGAUUAAUAAAGAUGCUAGAAUGAGGGCAGGACGUAACAAUGUGCAUCAGUUAUUCACAUUUUUUUUGAUAUGUCUGUUUUAACAUCAGUAUUCUGCUACUUCAUUAAUGUAAAAUAAAAAGUGCAAAUAUAUAGUUUUCUUUAUCAAUAUUUAACCAUUUGUGGAUGACACAUUAAAUGUCCCUGCGUAACAUAUCAUCACUGUGGAGGCUGCAGUAAAAAGCUUCAUUCACUUUGUAGGGUUUGUCAUUAAGCUGUGAUUGUCCUUUCUGAGGACUUCAAGUCGUGGUGCAGAUUGUCACUGUUUACAAGUGAAUACCAGCAGGUUUAUCAGUUGUAUGAUUGGCUACAUUCACCAUCCUUGAAGUGAUUCAGCUUGAGGCACACAAUGUCUUUACUAUGUGUUAAUGUGGUUGGGACACAUUGAGCCUAUUUAGGACAUUUUCUGAGCACAGUAACUACCGUGAACAAAGUUCAGCAAAAACAAUGAAACUAGACGUUCAAAACGAUCUGUGCUGUAUUAGUCUUAAUCAUUCAAAGAGGAUAGAUUGUACAUUGUACAUCAGUGCGGGAUAAUUAAAUAAUGCAUAUUAUUAUAUAUUA